CAGGAAGGAUCCAUGCUCAUCAUUGAACUUGAGAGAGCAACCAAUCUGAGAAGGGCAGAAACUGAAUAUAAGGCUGACAGCCAGCAAGCUUCUGUGUGGGUGCAAGGAAGCAAAGAAGAUAGCAGCAGAGGAAGACAGCAGAGCAAGAAGACAACAGAGUACAUACAGAAGAAUAGCACCAGCAAUGAAAAGAGGAAAGCAGACACAGGAGAGCAGUAGACAGAUCAAAAGGACCUAAAUGGUACAGAUGACUCAAGAAGACAGAGUGCUAUCUCCUAAGGAACAUGAGCAGGCUCAACAGCUACAACACCAGACCUAUCUGUUCAGAUAAAGCUGGUCUUAGGGAGGAGCUCUUUUGGAAUAUUCCUGUAUAAUUGAAACAAUGAGCUAUAACUGUGCCCUUCAACACCAAAUUCUUCUUACUUCAAUGCGAUGCUGGAAGCAGUUGUAUAAUAGUUACCACAAUGAUGUGUACAAUGGACUGUCAGAUCAGAUCCUGGGGGUCUGUAUUAUAUCCCAAGCAGAAAAGUAACAGAAGUCCAAGACUUUGCAGAUUGGCGUUGCUGGAACAUGAAUCUGUAAUGCAGAAACAAGCCUGGGCACCAAACCAGAAGAAUCAAUUACUCACUGUGACUAUUUAUUUAUCACAUCUGCACAGUCUACCUGCUCCACCCAUGAAGCUCCUAUGGCAGGAUCUGAGCCUUAAUCAUUAAACCUCAAAUAUUAACCAGUCCACUAAGUUCACCUUUCAUCAUGGAAUCUCCAGCGAUGUAAAGCUGUCAGAAAUGUCAUAAGCACUUCUGUGUCAGGCUGCGCCACCCCCCAAAGUGGCAUGUCAAUGGUGGGCUGAGGGCAUGACCCAAGGGACAAGAGUGGGUGUGGUGGAGCCAAGCUCCACUAUUGGCUAGUCACUGUUUUUUUGAAGCUUAUCCCAGCACUAGAGGAUAUGUCUUAACUGUGUUUAGUAAAGUGUCAUGUACAAAUAUGGUGCUGAAUAAAUGUUUUAAGAUGAUCCUAUAGCUCAGUGUGACCCCAUUAGUGCCGAUAAAGCAGUGUUAUGUUCAUAAUCCACAGGGAAUUGCAUUCAGUUCAUCAACUAGUCAGAUGGUCGUAAUGCUAAUGCUGAAUCUUAAGAAAAGGAGAAGUAUACAAUAAAGGAAAUAUCAGGGAUGCAUUGGACCUCCUGCUUCGAAAAUGAAAGAAACAUAUUCAAUCCUGCAUGAAGGGCUACUUUCUAUCUAGAGGUGCCUUUAUGACUCUCAACACCAUAUUGUUUGUGCACUGUGUUAGUAGCUGGGACCCGGCUUCAGCAAAGCAUUUGAGUGCUUUGAUGAAUUGAGGCUUGAGUGCCUGGUAACCCCUAUCAGUGAACACUUUAAAGCAUUUCCAAACUUUCCGGUACAAUACAGGUCAACUUCUAGCCAGCCAAGUCACGGGUUUUUAUUGAGCCAUUCAGUGGUCAUUUCAGGCAGCUUUUACUGUAAAUAAAAAUGAGAGAGAGAGAAAACACAAUGUUCAUUGAACCAAACAGCCACAUCCAAAUCCAGGCUUGCCCUCAAAGCAGUUUUCUUCUUCAACAUUAAAAUCUAUACAGCACAUAAUCCUGAGGAGUUUGAAUUGUGCACCACUUUCCAAAGUAAUGAAGCAAUAAGCCUUAAUGAAAUAACAUCUUCACAGUACACAGUUAGCUCCUUUGCCAGUGCUAUUUCUUUUCAAUUUUGAAGCCUAGAAAACACAAAUAGAAUAUCCUGGGUAUCACAAUAGUUAUAUAGUUACAACUGAAAGGAAUAAUGUACAGUCGUUUUUAUUUAUCCUGAUAAAAUAGAAUAUGAGGCCUGCUGUAAAUGGGACAUCUCAUUAGUUUUUCAUUCAAAGGAACACAUUUUAGACCUUUAUAAGAGUAGAUUGGUCUAAAAAGCCUGUUACACAAAUCCAUGAAAAUAUUUUCCAAAGAAUUAUAGAGCUUGUAAAUAAUGGGUGAAAAGUUGUUUUUUUAAAUAUGUAUUCAACAUAAUAAAUGGAAAAUAUGUUAUGCCUUUCAGAAGAGCUAUGAGUGCAGUUUGAUUUUGUGGUGCAGGAGAAGAAGGGGAAGUUAACUGCAUGUUUAGAUAUUCCAGUGAAUGCAGGUCCUCAUGCCACAAAGCAAUGAGGCAAAAUCAAGCAAAAUUAUGCCACUAUUGAGAAGUAAUAGUUCUAACACAGAAGGAAAGA